AGAGUUUGAUCCUGGCUCAGAUUGAACGCUGGCGGCAUGCCUAACACAUGCGAGUCCAACGUGAAAGGGGGGCAACCCUGGUGGCGAGUGGCGAACGGGUGAGUAAUGCAUCGGAACGUAUCCUUGAGUGGGGGAUAACGCAGCGAAAGUUGUGCUAAUACCGCAUAAGCUCUGAGGAGGAAAGCGGGGGACCGAAAGGCCUCGCGCUGAAGGAGCGGCCGAUGUCCGAUUAGCUAGUUGGUGAGGUAAAGGCUUACCAAGGCGACGAUCGGUAGCUGGUCUGAGGGGACGACCAGCCACACUGGGACUGAGACACGGCCCAGACUCCUACGGGAGGCGAC
rnacentral:rRNA from 1 species